CUGGGGAAUUACUGACACCAUAACCACUACAGUGUUCUGUAGUGGUUAUAGUGCUUGGAGCAUUCCGUCA